CCUACGGGAGGCAGCAGUGGGGAAUAUUGCACAAUGGGGGAAACCCUGAUGCAGCGACGCCGCGUGAAGGAAGAAGUAUUUCGGUAUGUAAACUUCUAUCAGCAGGGAAGAAAAUGACGGUACCUGUCUAAGAAUCCCCGGCUAACUACGUGCAAGCAGCCGCGGUAAUACGUAGGGGGCAAGCGUUAUCCGGAUUUACUGGGUUUAAAGGGAGCGUAGGCGGUUUAGCAAGUCAGAAGUGAAAGCCCGGGGCUCAACUCCGGGACUGCUUUUGAAACUGUUGAACUGGAGUGCAGGAGAGGUAAGUGGAAUUCGUGGUGUAGCGGUGAAAUGCGUAGAUAUUAGGAGGAACACCAGUGGCGAAGGCGGCUUACUGGACUGUAAAUGACGCUGAGGCUCGAAAGCGUGGGGAGCAAACAGGAUUAGAUACCCCUGUAGUC
rnacentral:rRNA from 1 species